UACGUAGGGGGCAGCGUGUCGGAUUCGAUUGGUGCGUAAAGAGCGUGUAGGCGGCCAUGUAGGUCCGGUGUGAAAACUCGAGGCUUAACCUCGAGAUGUCAUCGGAAACCAUUUGGCUAGAGUCCGGAAGAGGAGAGUGGAAUUCCUGGUGUAGCGGUGAAAUGCGCAGAUAUCAGGAAGAACACCGAUGGCGAAGGCAGCCCCCUGGGCCGACAUUGACGCUCAGGCACGAAAGCGUGGGGAGCAAACAGG
rnacentral:rRNA from 1 species